rnacentral:rRNA from 1 species
GUGAGGAAUAUUGGUCAAUGGGCGCAAGCCUGAACCAGCCAUGCCGCGUGCAGGAAGACGGUCCUAUGGAUUGUAAACUGCUUUUAUUUGGGAAUAAACUCCGGUACGUGUACCGGCCUGAAGGUACCAAAUGAAUAAGCACCGGCUAACUCCGUGCCAGCAGCCGCGGUAAUACGGAGGGUGCAAGCGUUAUCCGGAAUCAUUGGGUUUAAAGGGUCCGCAGGCGGUCUUAUAAGUCAGUGGUGAAAGCCUACAGCUCAACUGUAGAACUGCCAUUGAUACUGUAGGACUUGAAUUCGAUCGAAGUGGGCGGAAUGUGACAUGUAGCGGUGAAAUGCUUAGAUAUGUCACAGAACACCGAUAGCGAAGGCAGCUCACUAGGUCUGGAUUGACGCUCAGGGACGAAAGCGUGGGGAGCAAACAGGAUUAGAAACCCGUGUAGUC